rnacentral:rRNA from 1 species
AGACGACUCUCGGCAACGGAUAUCUCGGCUCUCGCAUCGAUGAAGAACGUAGCGAAAUGCGAUACUUGGUGUGAAUUGCAGAAUCCCGUGAACCAUCGAGUCUUUGAACGCAAGUUGCGCCCGAGGCCACUCGGCCGAGGGCACGCCUGCCUGGGCGUCACGCCACCCAUCGCCCCCCGCCGCGGCAUUCCCAUGCCCCGCCGGGGAGCGGAGACUGGCCGUCCGUGCCCGAGCCCUCGGCGCGCGGUCGGCAGAAAAGGAGGACACCGUGCGGCGCGACACGGCGUGUGGGGGUUGAGAGGCGGCUCGUCGCCGAUCGUACGUCGCGCCCGCAUUCCGCCGCGCGCAGUGUCACCCGUGGGACCGGACUCGCCCGCAGCCGCGGGCGCUCGGACCGCGACCCCAGGUCAGGCGUGGCCACCCGCUGAAUUUAAGCAUAUCAAUAAGCGGAGGAGAAGAAACUUACGAGGAUUCCCCUAGUAACGGCGAGCGAACCGGGAGCAGCCC